rnacentral:misc_RNA from 1 species
AGGAUUGACAAUAUCUUAUAAUAAAAGAAAAUUUAAUAGGGAAGGAGCAGAUGUAUGAGUUGAUAUGGUAGGGGUCUUACACGUGAACAUUCCUUCACUCCGCCUACGCUCACAACACGGGUUAGUUUUGUUGGGUUCAAUUACUAGGGCUUGGUUUGAUUUUGGUAGAAGUAGAAACCCCAUUCACAUUUGCGGGUCAAAAGGAUGGUCCCUGAAACAACCAAAAGCUUAGUUAUCAGAUGGUCACAUCACAUCUCAUCUCCAAUAGGAACACUCGCAAUUGUCAAAGAACAGAAACCUGAUCUUCUUCUGUUCAAACGGCGUGUGAAAUGUGAAGGUUGAACUAGAAGGUUUUUCAUUUCAAAUGGCACCAUUCUGCUAUCAUGUACCACUUCUUGCAGUUGAAGUCCUUACCACGUUUUCUUCUCUUAUUAUUUUAAGCUCUAUGGUGUUAUUUUCUCAGAAAAAAACCAAAAGAAGAUUAUGGGCAAGACUAGGAUGGUUAGGUUAUAAACAAAGUAUACAUGUGCUAGAAACUGGAAAUAGAAUCAAAUCACAAUCUGAAAUUAUCAUUGAUGCAAGUAUACCUAUUCUAACGAAAAAAUGUCAUUCCAUCUUUAUACUUCCUACCAUCUUUUGAUAUAAAUAAACCAUAUGAAGGGGAAAGAAAGAAUCUGCACCCAUUUUACGCAUGCAGAUUACACAUGGCCAUAAUAUAAGAAUUGACGGGGGAAAAAUGCUGCAUUUCAAAGAACAAAUGUCAGUGAGAUG